UUAAUCGGCGCGUUGAUGACGUCACAUUUAAAAAUCAAAAUAUCUCCUUAAGAACGAUGGCCCGCUUCUCCCCUUUUCCACCUCAAAACGAAAACCCUAGCUCGCCCUUGAGCAUCGAAUCAACAGAGCCACAGAGAGAGAGAGAGAGAGAGAGAGGCAGCAGAAGGCGAUCGAGUUUUGCCCCAAUUCGUCUCCGCCGAUCACCGGCCUCAACAUUCCACCGGCGAUCGCCAGAAUGAACCCGGGCGACCCGAGAUACUCGGACCCUAUUUCUUUCCGUCACCGCAGAAGCGAUUUCGUUCCACCGAGGGCACCGCCAGUCUAUGCAGCCCCGAGCUAUGGCGGCGGCCAGGGCCCGUAUGAGGGUCCACCUCCGGGCAUGGGAGGCUCCGUGUACCCGCCUUUUCAGUCUCCGGCUGGAGGAUUCGAGAUUGGUCGUGGAGGGGGCAUGGGUAAUGGGUAUAUGGGUGGCCAGAGAGGUCGAUCGGGCCGUGGAGAAGGUGGAACCCAAGGCGGAAGAGGUGGCCGAGGUGGCAGCGGAGGCUAUGGAGGACAUGAUGCAAAUAGGAGUUUUGGUGCUGGCCGUGGCGGUGGGAGAGGUGGAAGGCAGGGUGGCUGGUCGUCGCAGAGGGAUAACGAGAAGUUUGAUCUUCGUAAACCGAAUUUCGGCCAGCUCAUGCCGUUCGAGAAGAAUUUGUAUGUGGAGAGUCCUUUUGUGGCUGCAAUGUCUGAGCAUGAAGUCAUCACGUACCGUGCAAGAAGGGAUAUUACUGUGGAGGGAGACGAUGUUCCUAAGCCUAUUCGGACAUUUGAAGAGGCUAGUUUUCCUGGAUACUGCCUCGAUGUGAUUAAGAAUUUGGGGUUUGUCGAGCCAACGUCCAUCCAAUCUCAAGGAUGGCCUAUGGCUUUAAAGGGUAGAGAUUUAAUCGGUAUCGCUGAGACAGGUUCUGGCAAGACUCUGGCUUAUCUGCUACCAGCUUUGGUGCAUGUCGGUGCACAGCCACCCUUAGGUAGAGGGGACGGUCCUGUUGUGCUGGUGCUUGCACCUACUAGAGAAUUGGCAGUGCAGAUUCAACAGGAAGCUUCGAAAUUUGGUUCAAUUGGAUCAAAAGCAAAGAUCAGUAUCAGGAGUACAUGCAUUUAUGGUGGCGCCCCUAAGGGACCACAAAUUAAUGAUCUUAAUAAGGGUGUUGAGAUUGUCAUUGCUACACCUGGUCGUCUCUUAGACAUGUUGGAAGCAUAUAAGACAAACCUACGGAGAGUGACUUAUCUUGUGUUGGAUGAAGCGGAUAGAAUGCUAGACAUGGGAUUUGAACCUCAGAUAAGGAAGAUUAUAAAUCAAAUUCGACCAGAUAGACAGACACUAUUGUGGAGUGCAACAUGGCCGAGAGAGGUUGAAACUCUGGCGAGACAGUUCUUGAGCAAUCCAUAUAAGGUUAUCAUUGGAUCCCCUGAUCUGAAAGCAAACCAAUCUAUAAGUCAAGUCGUUGAAGUAAUAAAAGAGAGUGAAAAGUACACCAGGCUGAUCAAACUACUGACAGCAGUGAUGGAUGGGAGUCGAGUUCUGAUAUUUGUAGAAACAAAAAAGGGAUGUGAUCAAGUCACAAAACAGCUGAGGAUGGACGGAUGGCCAGCUCUAUCUAUACACGGAGACAAAAAUCAGUCUGAGAGGGAAUGGGUCUUGGCUGAAUUUAAGAGUGGCAGAAGUCCGAUAAUGACUGCCACUGAUGUUGCUGCAAGGGGUCUUGGUAGGAUCACUGUGUGUUAGGUUCAUAGGUCUCUUCAUAUAGGCUUGAAAAUUCCAAGGAUAGGCGAGUUGGCCGGCUGCUUUCCAGUUUCCUUAGAUUACAAGAGCCUGAUGCUUUUCUCCAUUGAAGUAAAAGUGGGAUGGGAAGCAAGGUUCUGUCAUCUGGCAUUCACUAGUGUAUUACGAACAGGAUGUCCACUAAGUCAUUGAGUGAUGCUUAUAGCUGAUUUUCCAAGAAUAUAGGGAUCAUCAUGGUUUAUACUCCUAAUAUGCUGGUAAAGAGCAUUUUGCUUUACCAUAUGUAUGGGGGUAUAGAGGCACAAAGUUUGGUCGUGCAAAUUUGUCAACUGCUGGAGUUGCUUGAAAUUGCAUGGCUCCUGUCUUUUUCAAGUUCAUUAAUUUGAAUAAUAGUUUCCCCAUUCGCAAUUAGGUAGCUGGUUUUGUGGCAGCCCGGUUGACUCGCUCAUGCUUAUUAUGGGGUUGGAAAUGGAUUGGUGAUUGUGGAGAUGCUCCUUAUCCCUGCCAGGUUAAGAUGUCAAGGAUAUAAAGUGUGUGAUAAACUAUGAUUUCCCAAUGACACUUGAGGAUUAUGUGCAUAGAAUUGGCCGGACUGGUCGAGCUGGAGCGAAGGGCACUGCCAUUACCUUCUUCACUGAUUCUAAUUCGAGGUUUGCUAGGGAACUUGUUAAAAUCUUGCAAGAUG